AAAGAAUAACAGAAUUUGGAGAUGCAUACAUUUGUACAUUCUACUGACAGCUGCAAAUUAAAAUGAAUGAGCUGUGUUUUGAAAUGCAUUUGUUAUGCCAAAAUGACACUUUUGUAUAUAGUUGGGUUUAAAAAAAAAGAUAGAUUUGUGUUUUUUUUGGGGACAAAAUUACAAUAAAUCACAAACAGAUAUUUUAAAUUAUUUAUUAUGAAUUUUGUUUAAAUUACAGAUGGUUUUGGUUAGAAAAAAAUGUCUGUUUUUUUUGUUGUAGCUUGUUUUCAGAUACUAAUGAAGAUAAAUAUAAAAUGAAUUUCUCUGGUCAAAAUCAUUCUUUCCCGCAUUAUAACCAAAAUUCCUACAGUGAAUUCUAGUUUAACUAUCCAUCCAUCCAUCCAUCUAUUUUCUAAUCCGCUUAUGCUCACGAGGGGCGCGGCGGGGGUGCUGGAGCCUAUCCCAGCCGACUUCGGGCAGUUGGCGGGGGACAUCUGCCAAUCGCAGGGCACACACAGACGAACAACCAUCCGUGCUCACACUCAUACCUAGGGACAAUUUGGAAUGUUCAAUCAGCCUGCCAUGCAUGUUUUUGGACUGUGGGAGGAAACUGAAGCACCCGGAGAAAACCCACGCGAGCCCGGGGAGCACAUGCAAACUCCACACAGGAAGGCCGGAGCCGGAACGAACCCACGACUACUGCACUGAAGCGUCUGGUGACGGUCCGGACCUGAUUCUUCAUCUCGUAGACAAUGAUUCCUUUGGCACAGACUCCCAAAACCAAUUCACCAAUCAAAGGCCUUUUUUCUCUGCCCACGCGGUGGAACAUAACCCCGUACUCUGGUAGUUGCUGGGCAAUCUUAACAGAAGCAAAGUCAAGGUCCCAUCGGGGCAUGCCUGCCAUGCAGUCUUGGCAGCUCGUCCUUCACAUUGGGCAAUGCCAGCUUCUCAAGCAUUCUCUUGGACACAUAGUGCUCCGGCUGGUAGUAAGUCUUUCCAUACAACUGGGCGAAACAAUGCACUCAUAUGACAACGGAACACAAAUGGGAAAGCAGAAGUGUUCUUCUUGC